rnacentral:ncRNA from 2 species
UUGAAUACGGUGGUUUUAGGUAUUUUUAUUUAAAAGGGAAAGUGGUGAAAAUCCGCUGCAGCCCCCGCUACUGUAUACGGGAACAAAUCCAUAAUUGCCACUGGCAUUUUAUAUAAUUUUAAUUAGUAAUUCAUUAGUCGUUCUUAUAAAAUUUUGAAGUUUCUAAGAAUUUUGUGAGAAAUAAAUAAUUUACUUUAAAAUUUAUAUAGCUGGGAAGGUUGGAGGAGAAUGAUCCGUGAGUCAGGAGACCUGCCUAAAAUAACAGUAUUGC